rnacentral:rRNA from 1 species
AGUGAACGCUGGCGGUAGGCCUAACACAUGCAAGUCGAACGGCAGCACAGUAAGAGCUUGCUCUUACGGGUGGCGAGUGGCGGACGGGUGAGGAAUACAUCGGAAUCUACUUUUUCGUGGGGGAUAACGUAGGGAAACUUACGCUAAUACCGCAUACGACCUACGGGUGAAAGCAGGGGAUCUUCGGACCUUGCGCGAUUGAAUGAGCCGAUGUCGGAUUAGCUAGUUGGCGGGGUAAAGGCCCACCAAGGCGACGAUCCGUAGCUGGUCUGAGAGGAUGAUCAGCCACACUGGAACUGGGACACGGUCCAGACUCCUGCGGGAGGCAGCAGUGGGGAAUAUUAGACAAUGGGCGCAAGCCUGAUCCAGCCAUACCGCGUGGGUGGAAGAAACCUUCCGGUUGUAAAGCCCUUUUGUUGGGAAAGAAAAGCAGCAGGUUAAUACCCCGCUGUUCUGACGGUACCCAAAGAAUAAGCACCGGCUAACUUCGUG